rnacentral:rRNA from 1 species
CCUACGGGAGGCAGCAGUGGGGAAUAUUGGACAAUGGGCGAAAGCCUGAUCCAGCAAUACCGCGUGCGUGAAGAAGGCCUGAGGGUUGUAAAGCACUUUCAAUUGGGAGGAAUACCUAUCCCUUAAUACGGGGUAGACUGACAUUACCUUUAGAAGAAGCACCGGCUAACUCCGUGCCAGCAGCCGCGGUAAUACGGAGGGUGCGAGCGUUAAUCGGAAUUACUGGGCGUAAAGCGUGCGUAGGCGGUUAUUUAAGUCAGAUGUGAAAUCCCCGGGCUCAACCUGGGAACUGCAUCUGAUACUGGGUAACUAGAGUGUGGGAGAGGAGAGUGGAAUUUCCGGUGUAGCGGUGAAAUGCGUAGAGAUCUGAAGGAACACCAGUGGCGAAGGCGACUCCCUGGCUUAAAACUGACGCUGAGGUACGAAAGCGUGGGUAGCAAACAGGAUUAGAUACCCCGGUAGU